UGCGGCUGGAUCUCCUUGACCAGUUUCGCCGCUUUGCAAAGAGCUGGCGUCUUGCUGAUUGACAUCGUGAAUGAAGGGAUUUGCUUGCUAGCUUACGCUGUGCGCAUCGAGAGAUGAGCGUGGCAUUAUGUAAGCCGCAGCGCUUGACCGCUCUGCGGCAGGCAAAUCGAGCACAUAUAAGUCUUUCUUAUAAAUCUGUGUCUGUCCGUCCGAUCUGCCGAGGUCGGAUACCACGGAAGUCAGCGUCAAGCUGACGACCAACAAAGGAUGGACAUUGAUAAUGAGAGCAUCAAGCGACUUAAGAGCAUUUGGUGGAUGCCUUGGCACUGAGAGGUGAUGAAGGACGUGGUACGCUGCGAAAAGUUACGGGGAGCUGCGAACAAGCUUUGAUCCGUAAAUAUCCGAAUGGGGAAACCCGG
rnacentral:misc_RNA from 1 species